rnacentral:rRNA from 1 species
AUUGAACGCUGGCGGCAUGCCUUACACAUGCAAGUCGAACGGUAACAGGUCUUCGGAUGCUGACGAGUGGCGAACGGGUGAGUAAUACAUCGGAACGUGCCUAGUAGUGGGGGAUAACUACUCGAAAGAGUGGCUAAUAUCGCAUGAGAUCUACGGAUGAAAGCAGGGGAUCGCAAGACCUUGUGCUACUAGAGCGGCCGAUGGCAGAUUAGGUAGUUGGUGGGAUAAAAGCUUACCAAGCCGACGAUCUGUAGCUGGUCUGAGAGGACGAUCAGCCACACUGGGACUGAGACACGGCCCAGACUCCUACGGGAGGCAGCAGUGGGGAAUUUUGGACAAUGGGCGAAAGCCUGAUCCAGCAAUGCCGCGUGCAGGAUGAAGGCCUUCGGGUUGUAAACUGCUUUUGUACGGAACGAAAAGCCCCGGGUUAAUACCCUGGGGUCAUGACGGUACCGUAAGGAUAAGCGCCGGCUAACUACGUGCCAGCAGCAGCCGCAG